rnacentral:rRNA from 1 species
UGGGGAAUAUUGGGCAAUGGGCGAAAGCCUGACCCAGCGACGCCGCGUGAAGGAAGAAGGUCUUCGGAUUGUAAACUUAUGUUGUCGGGGAAGAACAAAAUGACGGUACCCGGCGAGAAAGCCACGGCAAACUACGUGCCAGCAGCAGCGGUAAUACGUAGGUGGCAAGCGUUGUCCGGAAUUACUGGGUGUAAAGGGUGUGUAGGCGGGAUUUUAAGUCAUGCGUCAAAAUUAUGAGCUUAACUCAUAAGCGCGCGUGAAACUGAAAUUCUUGAGUGCGGGAGAGGUAAGCGGAAUUCCCAGUGUAGCGGUAGAAUGCGUAGAUAUUGGGAGGAACACCGGUGGCGAAGGCGGCUUACUGGACCGUAACUGACGCUGAGACACGAAAGCGUGGGGAGCAAACA